UACGUAGGUGGCAAGCGUUGUCCGGAUUUACUGGGCGUAAAGGGCGUGCAGGCGGUCUGUUAAGUCUAGGGUGAAAGCUCCCGGCUCAACCGAGGAACGUCGAUCGAUACUGCUGUUCUUGAGGAUUGCAGAGGAGACUGGAAUUCCCGGUGUAGCGGUGAAAUGUGUAGAGAUCGGGAGGAGCACCGGUGGCGAAGGCGGGUCUCUGGGCAAUUCCUGACGCUGAGGCGCGAAAGCGUGGGGAGCAAACGGG
rnacentral:rRNA from 1 species